UUCCCUCCCUAGUGCAGACACUCUGGCUUAGGAGGUGAAGUAGGGUGUAAGAGGGAAGCAUAGCUACAAAGUUUGUUAAGGAGGCAAACCUUUGUGGCAGUCCUAAGUUAGAAACCCUGAAAGGACAUUAGGCCGAAUCUGGAUGUGGGCUCUCGUGGGGUUAGGUGGGUGUCUUUUCCUGAGGUCAGAAUCUCGGGAAAUAAGAUACCAACUGGGGUGGUAAGAAAGGCUGAUUUUAUGGUCCUGUGGUAGGGGCACUCUUAAACUCCAUUUUAAAAAUAGGUUAAGCCUCUAUAGGAAUGCUGAUAUCCAUGGUGGUAGUAAUGAGAGAAGACUGACCAGCCAGUUGUCAGGGGACCCAGAGGGAAGAGUAACUAUCACUGGAUAGUCACUACUCCUGACCCUAAGGGACACGGGGAAUUAGGAAGAAAGUUACUUCUUCCUUUCUCCUGAAUUAGCAUCCUAUCCCUGUAAGGGCCCUGGAACAUAGAAACAAUAUUGCAGAAACAACUAAAAAAUGGUCCAAUUGUAUUUUAAGACCUUUAGGAUUUGGGAUCUAAUCUUGAGGCUGAAUACCCUUCAAUAGUCAAGGUUCUGGCAGGGGUAUCAGAGUAGCAGGAGUCUUUGGUGGAGGAUGAUACAGAUAUUGUGAGGCAAGUAGUCACCGUAAAUGGCAUCCCCAUGGUCUGCUUAGAUGCUCUUAAUAUAGGAGAGGUACUAGAUGUAUAUUGUGAGUUACACAUCAUGUUCUAAAGUGGAAAAAAUCUUUUUUUUUUUUUUGGUGAUUUGCUUCUUUCACCUUUUAGCUCUCUCCUCCACGUUAACAUCACCGAAGUGCCUAAAAUUAGGAUAAGCUGUUUGUUCCACACUGAACAAUCACUGCUCUCUGUGAUGCUAGACUAGGUGGUAAAGAGUGCUGGAUUCUGAUGGGAUCCUGGGGUUGAAUUGCUAAGUAUCUAAAUGUUGUCCCUCCCUGCAGUUGUGAAAUUGUCUGAUGAAGCUAAAAGCCUCCAGAACCCAGAUUACAGCUGGUGAGAGGGAGCUUGCAGAGGUAUCAGGCCCAUGGGAGACUGGAUUAUGAUCAGAAAAUGGGCAGGGACUUGAACUGGCAGUGGAGUAAAAAGACUUGUCCCUAAGCUCUGGGUGCCGGUUGGAUCCUUUGCAAUCUCUGACAAGAGGACAUAGAGCUGCCUCUUUAGAGCAGAAUGCUGAAAGACAAAAGGCCAGUUGUUCCCAUGUUAGGUGAGGAUACAUACCCUUGAAAGUGCCAGUUCCUAGGUUGAUGGUAACUGGAAGAGCUUUUAGAGUAACUUUGAAGAAGUCAGAGAAUAGGUUAGAAAACAUAGGAAUAGAAAUUGCUUGUCAUUUGGGGUAAGUCAAGUGGGAAAGGGAAUUACUUGUAUUAACUGGAUUUGCGGACCUUGCCUUUAUGGGUAGUCAGAUGAUACUCUUCUUAGCUUUCUACUUGGGCAGAAACUAUAUGAAAGAUAAGUUAACAGUGAGGAAGCAGAAAAAGCUUAGAAGGAGAAGGCCAUGGCAGAAACCAGAGACAAAACCAGAAUGAAACCUCCUUCCUUCUCUCUCUGUGCUUUUUUCUUCUUUCCCUUCCUUCCUGCAAACACUUGAGUGUCUACUGCAUGCCAAGUUCUAGCUAGGAACUGAAGAUAAAAGAUGAACAAGACUCAUUCCCUGCUCUGGGAGAGCUCAUAUGUAGUGGGAAGAUAAAAUCAUGGCUGACUAUAGGGCAUGAGGGUGAGAAAUGGGUUUCUAAGGACUGCCUUUUCUGUGUAGGUAAGGAGGGAGCUAAGAAAAUAGAGAUGCUCAGAAUGGGUUCUGACAUUACCUUCGUAAUUGCCACAGAGCUGAGGGCGGAGGACCAGCUGACACAUGUAGGCUAAAGAUUCACCCCAUCCUCUCUCUGGGUAGUGAUACUGGUCGGGGGUCUGAAGAGAAUCAGGAAUAGGAUGCUUCCUGUGUCCCCUGUGCCACACUCAGGCACUGUGGCAAAGGUAAUGUACCUUUGUGUUGCUGUGGGUUGUCCAGCUGUAGCUCAUCUUGAAUUUUCUCUCUUGGUCAUUAUGUGCAAAAAGGGAGAACAAGGAAGUUGUGGGAGUUUGGGAAGAUACAAAACAAAGAAGAAAGAAGAAACAUCCUUAUCCCCAAACAACAACAGCCGCAAAAUUGAAGAAAAACAUUUUGGUAUUCCGUUUAUGGGUCCCCAGAGUCCAGGAACCUCAAGGAACAGCCCAGGGAUCAGAGAACAAACAAUGCUCUUAUAAGAGAAUAUUCUACUAGCAUUUAAGGACAAGUUGAGGGUCUCUGCUGAGGCUAGGGGAGGAACAGAACAAAAAGCUGCUAGGUUUUCACCCUUUGAUGAGAGGACCUCUUUUGGGGAGGUGGUUUUGUGCAGGUAUUUACAAACUUCUUAUGGGUGUAGGGUCAGAGAGUUCCUGGAAUGUAGGCCUUCUGAGUGAGUCACGUUUGUCAUGAAUCUAGGUUUGAUUUGUAAAGCAGGCAUUGAAAAGUAGCUGUAAGUUUCCAGAGUUUUGGGGUAACCAGAUUGGAAGGUCCUAGCUAGACCUGGGAGAACUUUCCUACAUGGUUUAUUCUGGAAGUAUUUGCUGUUGCUGAAGCUCACUGGAGGAGGGAUGUAUAGUUGCUUGGCCACAGCCUGAAAGAACCUGAAAUUAAGGCACUGGCUGGAUAGAUACCCCAACCCAUAGACACGAAAGCCAGGUGAAGGACAUUGACUCUUAUUACGGUCAUUUUACCAAAUAUUUUGAAGGGUGUUUGGUGUACCGAGGUCCUGUAAUGGUAGUCGGGGCUCUUGGAUAUCUUUACUAAACAACAGCACCACAUUUUUCUCAUUUGCCAUGGGCCAUUGAAAGCUUUCACAAAAUUGCCACAGUCCUUGGACAGCAUUUAAUGCCCACUGAUCUAUCUCUGCUCUAUAGCCUCAACUACAAGGGUGUGAGGUCAGUAGCUUCCCCAUCUUUGCUGCUUUGAGCAGAUGGCCGAGGAAGGAGUUCUGCAUCACCAAGAAUAUGGCCAGAGACUUUGUGAAGAUUCUGAAAUGUCUGGCUUAUGGAUUGAUUAGGGGUUCUCACCCUGCUUUCUUCUAUAGGACGUGCUUCUCUACGGCCGUUUAAGCAGAUUUCAUAGCAUCUUGAUCUUUUAUAAAGUUUGGAAGUUUGUUUUCUGGCUUCUCAUAGUUCCUUUUUGCUGUGUGUACUGCCUUUUUCUCAGAUGAUGUUGGCUCUUCUCCCAACGGACUGUUCUUUGGGAAAAGGCCAGACAAUUUACAACUACAGUGAAAAACAACAAACAAAAUAAACCCCCCAGAACUGUGUGUCUUACCACUUUUGGCAUCUGGUUUUGUUUUGUUUUCCUUUAAGUGGUGGUUAGUUUCUGUACCCAAAGGGUUGCAAUUCUAAUGACAUACUUUCUGGUAUCCUUGCCUGGGAAUAGUGCAUGAUGGGUUCCAAUCUGUAGUCUCUCAUCAACCCCUCACACUUAUUUAAUUGUUAGAAGAACUACUUAUUGAAAGGCCAUGCCAUUGAGUUUCUCCUGGGUAGCUGGCAAGGAUACCAGCUUCAAAACUGAAAAUAUUAGAUGUGAAGAUAUUUUGAACAAGGAACAAGAAUCCUGUGUUCUAGUCCUGGCACUGCCAUUAUUAUCCAUGAGAACUCUGGCAAGUCUCCAGAUUUCUUUGGGUUGUGGUCUCGUCAUGGGUAAAAAUACCUACCUCACAGGGUUGUUGUGAGGAUUAAAUGUGCUCUGUAAUCUGUUGUACUAUAUAAAUAUUUGCAAUUUUUUAUGAUUUAAGAGCCAUUUAAAGAUAUUCCCUGGCCACAUGGCAGACAUGCCAACAUUUGUGCUAUCCGAUCAAGGGUUUUCAUGGUCAUGUACUGCAUAUUUAAAUCGCUGAAGCAAAAUUUUAUGUUUUUACAUAAAUAUUUUUGGGUGAAGAGGGUCUGUAGCUUUCACUGGUUUUCUAAAGGGGGUCUCUUAUCAGAAAAAAGGUAAAACCCAGUGCUUUAGAUUGAAAAGUGAGAUUCAGUAAUGGGAAUAAAUUUGCUUCCAGAAGAUCCCUCUUAACAUGUUUACAGUAGUAGUUGCAAUGCUUUUUUGAUAGUGAAAUUCUUAAUGUGACCUAAUGAUUGGGUGUACCAAACAUUUGAAAUUGGGACAGAAAAUUUUUGGCCAAGUGGUCAUGAUAGCCAUUAGGUUAUCCAACUGUCUAUAGUGUGAAGGUGGAGGUAAAACAAAUUAUUAGCUAUGUGGCCCUAAGAAAGUCACCUUAUCUCAUGGAGUCUGUUACUUCAUUUGUAAAGUGAAGGAUUUGACCUUGAAGAUUUCCAAGGUUCCUGGUUUGAAUUCUCUAGGGAAGUGAGAUCAAAGCUGGACUUGGAUGCAGCCUUGUUAUAGCAGAAGUGAAUCAGGUUUUGUGUAAGAGGAAAAAGAGGGAGUGUCAGGGAGAGGAGGAGGGGCAGAGCAACCAAGAAACCCCCUUCUUGAUAAACAUGGCAAACAAGAGCCUGCUGCGGUGAAGAGCCAGGGUAAUUGGGGCAGAAAGAGAGUUGGGAGGCUACUUCUGAAGAUCCAGGAAUUUGGUGGCCAGAGACUCAAUCUCCAGAACAAUCUCCAGAACAAUCUCCAGUGAGCCAACACCCCAUCUUCUCUGCACUCACAGAACUUCCAGUUCUCAUAGGAGCAAAUGCCUGGAGUCUUCCCUCUUCCCAUAUCAGUAUUUGGAAGAUGUGGCUCCUUGGUUUGGAAGCAGCACUGGCUGAGACACAGUUCUUUGGAAACUGACAAGUCUUCUACAACUUCGAUUUCAAUGACCUACCCUGUGGAUGGACCUUGGUUUAUUUAACCAGUGGGCUGUUGCCCACAGGUUACCAGACCUAAGAACCUACCUCUAGAAAGGGACUGGCUGUCACCUGGAUGCACCCUAACAGCCCCCACAGUAUGAUGUUCUCUUGUCUCCUAUUGGUCAGGGCAUGAGUACAUUUGUGAUUAAAUGAGGGAUUGGUGGAUUAUGUCACAUGAGGGAAUCUUUGGGAUUAGAUGUUUCUGCUAAUGGAGCAGAGGAUACCAGCUGAGUGGCCAAACCCUGCUUGGAGCAUCAUCCCAUGUCACUCUGGAGUGAGAAUGCCAUCAUGGUGGAGGCUCUGGUGUGCUGCUCUGACCACCACCACCCCUGCAGUUUCUGGGCACUCAUUCCCCUCGUUGCCAACAGGUCAUAGAUAAAAUUCAUUUCCAGAAACUCCUUAGCUAAAAGGACCCACCAUGAUCACGUGACCCACCAAGGUCACGGCCCUUUCCCUGGGGUAGUUUUCAUCCAACGAUUGGAUGAUGAGGAGCUAUAAUUACCUGCCCUCUUACCCUCAGUUUGGGACAACUCUUCAGGGCUCUUCCAGUUCUAGAGCUCUGUGUGGCCUGUGCUGAGGCCUGUGUUGGGACUGUAGGGCUGCUCUGCUCUCUCUACCCAGCUCUGCUUUCCUCUUUUCACCCCCAAAGGUGCAUCUCCCACCAGGACCUUCCAGUAACCUUCCUCCUUGCACAUGGCCCGCUCAGUGUCUGCUUCCGGGGGAACCCAAUCUGUGGCAGGCACUAAGUUUACAUUUUUGGCCUGACAAAGAGUUUAUGUGCAUAGUGUGUCUUACAGAGAGACAAUACAAGUUAAAAAAUAUCAGUUCUAAUUGCAAUACUUACAGGUUUCUCCACAAUACUUACGUGGCUACAUAGCUAGCCUUUCCAAGUGGAGUCAGAUCCAGCCUGGAGCUCUCACUUGAGGAAGUCAACAAGAAGUGUUCUGUGUUUGCCAUUUCCUAGGACUCUUACCCCAUCAUUUGGUUGUCCCAGGUCUGAGCCCGGUUGAUGGGGAGGUGGAUGGGUCCCUCCCAGGCAGGCCGUGCAUCUCGGGGCGCCCCUCACCGUGUGCUGGCUGUGGACCAUCCGUGCUCCCUCGGUACUGAUACGGGUCCACGGCCCCCUGUGUGGCCACACGUGCCCUUCUCUUUAUGGAGGAGGAAAAAGACUUUUACAACCUAUUUCCUCUCUUGAAAUUUGAGGCUUUAUUCCACAGUUUCCUUAUUCACAACGAGGGGAUUUUAUCCCUUACGCAGUGACGCUGGCUCCUGGCCAGUCUGGAGCAGCCUCAGGAGAGUGCAGGGCCGUGGCCCAGCUGGCUGACUUCACGUUUCCCUGGAGAGGAAACAGCUGUCACCUUCUCCACUCAGGAAGCACAGGUGUAGAAGUGACCUCUGAUUCCUUUGCUGGGGGUCGGCGACUCAGUUUUUAGGAGGAUUCCUACCUCUUUUUCCUGGUUUAGGUUCCAAGAUGGGCCCCCUCCUCCCCUACAUUAUGUUGGGUACAAAGCCACUGCCAACAGAAGGAUCAAAGUACAGUUUAGCUACCGUUAUGGGUUCAGUUGUGCGCCCCACCCCCCAUCCCCAAAGAUAUGUUGAAGAAUUAACUCCAGUACCUCUGAGUGUGACUCUUUGGAAAUAAGAUCUUUGCAGAUGUACCGAGUUCAGAGGAGGUCAUCCCGGAGAAGGGUGGGCCCUUUAUCCAAUAGGGUUGGCAUCCUUAUAAGAGAAAGAGAGAUCCAGAGACACAGACUCAGGAGAGGAGAACGCCACGUGAUGCCGAAGUGGACCCUAAGGUGCUGCAGCCGCAAGACUGGGAACCCCAAGGACCAGAGUAGGAGGAGGCCAGGAAGGAUUCUCCUUUAUGGGUCUCAGAGGAGCCUGGCUCAGCUGAUACCUUCAGGUUAGACUUCUGGACUUCGACAGCAUGAGACAAUAAAUACAUUUCUGCUGUAAUGUAUUUCUGACAUUCUGUCAGAAUUCUGUAUCCCCCUCAUUUGUGGUACUUUGUUACCUUAAGGAAGUCAGUAAUGGGAACAUCCCUAAGGAAAUGAAUACAGCCAUUAUUGCAAAACCUUUAACUAGAUAGCUCUGGUUUUCUCUCUUGUGGUCCAGAGCUUGAUCCAGGCACUACUCCAAAAGUAGCGCACUUAUAACUGCUUAGAGAGGCCUCCUAUUUAGAUCUUCUGAGAGGGAUUAUUGCAGCUCUAAUAGAGUUGAACACAUGGGCAUGGCUUAGGCACUGAGAGGUCCAAUUCUAGCUUAGUGAGGCUGAAAGAAAAGCUAACAGGGUAGCUGGGGGACUGUGAAGUCACUGUUUAGAUUUGGCUGGGGCCCGGGAGGGGCUUCCUUGUAGGACCCUAUGUAUCUGUUUAGUAGAGCCUUUGGAUUCUGAGAAUGAAGCCCUGCAAAGGAAUUUGAAGAUGACCUGGUCUCAUCGAGUGUCCUGUUUUAUGUGGAGAAAACAAGAUCUGGGGAGGUUAGGUGGCUUACCCAGGGGCCAGCUGAUAAAUAGUAGAGAUGGGCCUGGAGUCCAAAGCACCCUGAGAUACGGGCCAGUGUGCUUGUCCCAGCUCUGGACUCCCCUGUAAGCCUGUCAAAACAUUGUGCAAGGUCAUGAAGAAACUCUGAGGAAACUCUGCACUGACUUCUCGAAGCUACUAAGGUCAGCAGCAUGGCCUUUGGGGACAGGUCUACCAAUUUUUCCGAGCAUCAAGUAACUUUUAAAGGCAGUGUUUCUUUUUUUUUUUUUUCCUUCAAAGAUUUUAUCCAUUUAUUCAUGAGAGAC